rnacentral:sRNA from 1 species
UUAUGUGUGAGGAGCGAACCAGCAAGAGCACCGAGACGAAACACGGUCAGUCGUCGGUGCUCUUGCUGAUUU